rnacentral:rRNA from 1 species
GACGAACGCUGGCGGCGUGCUUAACACAUGCAAGUCGAGCGGUAAGGCUCCUUCGGGAGUACACGAGCGGCGAACGGGUGAGUAACACGUGAGUAAUCUGCCCUUCACUUCGGGAUAACCGCCGGAAACGGUGGCUAAUACCGGAUACGACGCACUCUCGCAUGAGAUGUGCGUGGAAAGUUUUCUCGGUGAAGGAUGUGCUCGCGGCCUAUCAGCUUGUUGGUGAGGUAACGGCUCACCAAGGCUUCGACGGGUAGCCGGCCUGAGAGGGUGACCGGCCACACUGGGACUGAGACACGGCCCAGACUCCUACGGGAGGCAGCAGUGGGGAAUAUUGGACAAUGGGCGCAAGCCUGAUCCAGCCAUGCCGCGUGAGUGAUGAAGGCCCUAGGGGUUGUAAAGCUCUUUUGUGCGGGAAGAUAAUGACGGUACCGCAAGAAUAAGCCCCGGCUAACUUCGUGCCAGCCGCCGCUGUAAU